rnacentral:rRNA from 1 species
UACGUAGGGUGCGAGCGUUGUCCGGAAUUAUUGGGCGUAAAGAGCUCGUAGGCGGUCUGUCGCGUCGAAUGUGAAAACCCGGGGCUCAACUCCGGGCUUGCAUUCGAUACGGGCAGGCUAGAGUUCGGUAGGGGAGUCUGGAAUUCCUGGUGUAACGGUGAAAUGUGUUGAUAUCAGGAGGAACACCCAUGGCGAAGGCAGCAAACUGGGCAUCAACUGACGCUGAGGCGCGAAAGCGUGGGUAGCAAACAGG